CUCAGUGACACUCAGCUGAAACCCAGAAAUCUCCAGUGGUAUCUCAGAGCUCUGCCCAACCUGGGAAAGGACCGGGAGAGCCUUUGCAGGGUUUCCCAAUGGAGCGAUGAUCCAGACAGCACAGCUUUGUGCUUUAUCCUUGUGCUGCUCUUUCCAAUGUGACUGCUUGAAAACACACAUCGCCCACUCACCACUGCCAGCAGAACCACCAAAACCUGCUGUGCCCUUCCUUAUGGAAGGAAUGCAUCCCAGAACGUGAAACACACACUGAGACUGAAAGAGGGAAAGGAAAACAGACCACAGCUUCCAGAACCUGCAAGAGGAAAGAGGAUCCCAAGGAUGCAGUCCUGUGUUCGCUAAUAGUUUCCACCAAACAGCGUCUCUAAGAAGCCAAGACCAUAAAGGAACUGUGUAUAUGCACAUGUAUGAACAUGCAUAAUUAAAGGGGUCUACAGUGAUUUAAGGCAGGUGAGGACUGAAGCUACACAAGCCACGCAAUCUUGCAUCUACACACAUAUACUAAAUUUAGGUUAAGUGGCUUAAAUUUGGCUUAAGCAGAAUACGCCUUUCAUCCCUCCUGAUUUCAUCGACUAGUUCAUUGUCAGAUGCUCUGUCUCUAUUAGUGGGGAAGCAAAGCAGUGUGUUUUAAGAUUUCUCCCACUGUUGCGAGUCCAAACUUCCUCCAGAUUUUAGCUUGUUUGCAAGAGAUUGAGUAAAAUGAAGAUUUUUUCCUUUUAGGUCAACAUUUUCUUCUGGCAGACUGAGCCUGAAGUGCACUUUAUUUCCCUUUAAUUUAACAGCUCCAGCAGCUUUUCCAGUUAAAUCGACUGUUCAUUAUUGAGCCCAUUUAUGAAGGGCUGUGCAGUGCAGUUUAAUGAAUCCCUGGCACAAAGCUCCCUUUCAGCGUAGGGAAAGAAUAGCAGCCUAUUUAGGUCCUGUAGGGCUGUAUGUCAAAGGCUGCCUAUAAUACUUGUCAGGGAAGGGCAGAAAUUCCCACUGAUAUAAGAAUGUGCAAGAAAUCAACUUGCACAACCAACUUGCCGAUUAAGACGCGAUCAGGAAAUGAGUCUGCUCCCCAGUGCGGGUGGAGGACACAAAGGCGAGGAAAAGAGAUGUUCCAGUGAAGCAAUGCUGCUACCAAAACUUAAAGAGUCCUGAGGUCGAACAGCGUCUUGCAGGAUCUUGCAAACAGCAACUGACAGCGGUGCUGAAGCGAUGGUGUACGCUGGGGACAGAACCGCACCGUGCUGCGGGGAAGUGAUUCCUACAGACCACUGGAUUCCUUCCAGGAACGUGUCAGAGCUCGGAAGGCGCCGCGGCUCGGUCUCACCGUGUACAGGAGAUGAUUUGAUAAUCAUUUAAGUUAUGUAAAAGAGUCUAUGAUAGGUCCUAUAAAAAUAAAGCUACACAAUAGAUCUG